UCUUAUUUAAUUUUUGUUUAGGCACCAUCUCGAAUUGUAGAAGCAAGUGCAAAAGCAUUAAAACUGACGGAUGCACUUUUGAGAUGGAUAAAAGUUGGACUGGUCUUCCAAAUUGACUUUCUAGAGAUUAUGUUGAAGGGGUAGCAUCAUUUAUUAAAGUUGCUAAACAACAUUUGGACGAUGAGGGAAGACACGUUGCCCAUGCCGUAAUUGUCUUAAUGCCUAUUGUAAACCCAUUGAGGUUGUACAUAAACAUAUUUAUAGGUAUGGGUUUUCUAAAUUAUAUGUAAAUUGGGUGUUCCAUGAAGAAGAACAAGUGGCAUCCACGAGCAACACUGGACCGAAUAAUUUGCAUCGUUCGCAAGUAAACAAAAAAAAUCGUGCAAAUGUGCCGUAUAACCACUAUGGAGGAUCGAAACCCUUUGUAUAUCAUCUUCAAGAAAAAUCAAAGAAUCUUCCUGAAUGACGAACACAAGGACAGGUGGAUUUUUUUUCAUGAUAUGCAUUAUCAUGAUAAAAAAGAUUGGAUCAAUGAGACAGCUCAACAAAGAUAUGUAAGUAAAUGAUUUUCUACAUUUGUCCUCCCAAACUAAGAGACACCUUACUUACAUUGCCUUCCUAAGCUAAACUAUUAUUAUUUUGUUAAUUUAGUCUG